GACGAACGCUGGCGGCGUGCUUAACACAUGCAAGUCGAACGAUGAUGCCAGCUUGCUGGUGGAUUAGUGGCGAACGGGUGAGUAACACGUGAGCAACCUGCCCCUGACUUCGGGAUAACCGCGGGAAACCGUGGCUAAUACCGGAUAUGACGCGCUAUCGAAUGGUGGGGUGUGGGAAGAUUUAUCGGUUGGGGAUGGGCUCGCGGCCUAUCAGCUUGUUGGUGGGGUGAUGGCCUACCAAGGCGACGACGGGUAGCCGGCCUGAGAGGGUGACCGGCCACACUGGGACUGAGACACGGCGCAGACUCCUACGGGAGGCAGCAGUGGGGAAUAUUGCACAAUGAGCGCAAGCCUGAUGCAGCGACGCCGCGUGAGGGAUGACGGCCUUCGGGUUGUAAACCUCUUUCAGUAGGGAAGAAGGCCUUCGGGUUGACGGUACCUGCAGAAGAAGCGCCGGCUAACUACGUG
rnacentral:rRNA from 1 species